GCCCGCUCAGAACUACAAAUGAAUUGACGGGGGGCCCGCACAAGCGGAGGAGCAUGUGGUUUAAUUCGAUGAUACGCGAGGAACCUUACCUGGGCUCGAACGUAAGAUGACUGUAGGUGAAAGCUUACAUCUCUUCGGAGCAUUUUACGAGGUGCUGCAUGGUUGUCGUCAGCUCGUGCCGUGAGGUGUCGGGUUAAGUCCCAUAACGAGCGCAACCCCUACCUUUAGUUGCCAUCAGGUAAUGCUGGGGACUCUAAAGGAACUGCCUACGCAAGUAGUGAGGAAGGCGGGGAUGACGUCAAAUCAGCACGGCCCUUACGUCCAGGGCUACACACGUGCUACAAUGGCCGAUACAGAGGGCAGCUACCUGGUGACAGGAUGCAAAUCUCCAAAGUCGGUCUCAGUUCGGAUCGGAGUCUGCAACCCGACUCCGUGAAGUUGGAUUCGCUAGUAAUCGCGCGUCAGCCACGGCGCGGUGAAUACGUUCCCGGGCCUU
rnacentral:rRNA from 1 species